AUACGGAAGGGGCAAGCGUUGUUCGGAAUCAUGGGGCGUAAAGGGCAGGUAGGCGGUCAUGUAAGUCUGUUGUGAAAUCCCAGGGCUCAACCCUGGAACUGCAUCAGAUACUGCGUGACUUGAGUGUUGGAGAGGUGAGGGGAAUUCCUGGUGUAAGGGUGAAAUCUGUAGAUAUCAGGAGGAACACCGAUGGCGAAGGCACCUCACUGGCCGACAUCUGACGCUGAACUGCGAAAGCAAGGGGAGCAAACAGGAUUAGAAACCCCAGUAGUCC
rnacentral:rRNA from 1 species